CUUUCUCUCUCCCUUCUCGAGUUUUUGAGUUUUCUCUCUCCCCUCCUCGAGUUUUCUCUCUCUUUCUUUCUCCUCUCUCAAAAGUUUUAGGCGAAGUAUUCAACAACCUUGUGUUCGCGAGCUGCAUUGGUGAAGGUGUGGUUCAAGCAAUUGUUGUUCUUCACGAUUUUAUCUCAAGAAUGGGGGGUAACGUUAAGGUAGUAGCAACUAAGAGGAAAGGUGCAGAUACGAAGAAAGUUGCAGGGGCAGUAAAGAAUAGGGCGGUAAGGGUCAUAUUAUUUCACUUAGUUAUUGUGUAAUAUUCUAAUUUGCUUAAAAUGUAAUAUUGUUGGUUGUUUGACAAAGUAUCAUCCACACUUUACUUGGUGUUGUUCCCGGGAAGAAACCUAGUGAUCCCGCAAGAUUGAUCAAGAACGGUGGGAAGAGAAAGAGGUCGUACAAGAUUGAUGAUAACGGCGAUGAGAUAGAUUCGGUGGAGGAUGACGAUUGUAAUAGCCCCGGUUUUAAACAGCUCUUAAUUAUAUGAUUAAUUAUAUUUUAUCAGCUUAAUUGGAUUUUAAAUCCUCUUUAUAUAAAAAUAAUGUGUUGUUAAUUAUAAGAUAUUAUUUAUGGGUUUCAAAAUGCUUUAAAGAAAAUCUAAAAUUUUUAAGUUGAAUCCAAUAUUACUAUUUUGCCCUUAUAUAUGCAUGAUCUCCAAGGACCAAACUCACCAUUCUUUGUUCUCUUCGUGUCAAUUAAGGAGGUUUCCAAACCAUGCAUUUUUGUUUUGUUGUCAUCUUCUCAUGAUACCUUCUGUCCACCAACAUGAUAUUGAUCAAAAUCAUGAAUUUAAUCACACCAGAAUUUGUAAGCCAAAAAAAAAAAAAUUCCCAAUCUCAUUCAAAAAGUCGUUCUCCUCCCAACUACAGAUUCUGUUCAUCGAAUAUCUUCAGUAUACAGUUAUAUUUUGCCUAUGAUUUCUUCAUAAGAGUUGUAGCCCUUGAAAAGUUAAUCAGUUUAGCCUUAAGAAACACUCAAUUUGGAGCUUUAUCGUAGGAGAUACGCCCUCUUCUUUUCGCCGCUGCUGUAGUUGUUGCUUCCAGCACCAGAUUCUAUUCGUCAUGUUUUGAAGAUCUUUUGCUCAUUUUUAGCUUCUGGUUUCCAUAUAAAAGUUGUAGAGAUCUUCGUGUUAAUGAAUUUAGGCUCAAGAAUCACUCAAUUCGGAGCCGUAUUCUAGGAGAUACACUCUUCUGAAACCGGUUGUUGCUGCUGCCUUUAUUCUACCGCGGCUGGACUGCUCUUUGAUAUUGUUAUUGCUGCUGCUGAUACUUCGUUGUUGGGGUGUUGUGCUUCUCAAUCAAGCCAUAUAUCCUCUUAUUUUAAAGGAAAUCAAGUGGGCCUUGAAAGUAACAAAGGUAAACUAUUCACAUCAAUCUAGGAAAUUGAUUAUUUAAAUGGUACUCGAGAAAGGAAGGUAUAAAAGAGGUCGGAUUCAAAUAUUAUAUCUUGGAGUUUCAAGGUCGAAUAGUGAAGAUUCCUAUUCGUGAUUUUGCAGGUUUAGUUAAUGCUGGAAGUUGAAUCAGGGAUCGCGAAUGCAAAAAGAGAUAUAUGCUAG